CCUACGGGAGGCAGCAGUGGGGAAUAUUGGACAAUGGGGGGAACCCUGAUCCAGCGCCGCCGCGUGAGUGAAGAAGUAUUUCGGUAUGUAAAGCUCUAUCAGCAGGGAAGAAAGAAAUGACGGUACCUGACUAAGACGCCCCGGCUAACUACGUGCCAGCAGCCGCGGUAAUACGUAGGGGGCAAGCGUUAUCCGGAUUUACUGGGUGUAAAGGGAGCGUAGACGGCGAUGCAAGUCUGAAGUGAAAGGCGGGGGCCCAACCCCCGGACUGCUUUGGAAACUGUAUGGCUGGAGUGCAGGAGAGGUAAGUGGAAUUCCUAGUGUAGCGGUGAAAUGCGUAGAGAUUAGGAGGAACACCAGUGGCGAAGGCGGCUUACUGGACUGUAACUGACGUUGAGGCUCGAAAGCGUGGGGAGCAAACAGGAUUAGAUACCCGUGUAGUC
rnacentral:rRNA from 1 species